UACGGAGGGGACUAGCGUUGUUCGGAAUUACUGGGCGUAAAGAGUUCGUAGGCGGAUAAGCAAGUAAGAGGUGAAAGCCCAGGGCUCAACCCUGGAACUGCCUUUAGACUGCUUGUCUGGAGACCGGUAGAGGUUAGGGGAAUACCUAGUGUAGAGGUGAAAUUCGUAGAUAUUAGGUGGAACACCAGUGGCGAAGGCGC
rnacentral:rRNA from 1 species